CUACGGGAGGCAGCAGUAGGGAAUCUUCCGCAAUGGACGAAAGUCUGACGGAGCAACGCCGCGUGAGUGAUGAAGGUUUUCGGAUCGUAAAGCUCUGUUGUCAGGGAAGAACAAGUACCGUUCGAAUAGGGCGGUACCUUGACGGUACCUAACCAA
rnacentral:rRNA from 1 species